ensembl:lincRNA 1700025H01Rik RIKEN cDNA 1700025H01 gene
AAGUAGUCAGAAUAGAUUCUACUGGCUCCUGCGGGUGUGGCUUGGAAGAAGGCACCAGGGCACCCUCUAUCAUCCUCGGCCCUGAUGCUCUUUGGACUUCUAACAGGAACUGAACGGACACUUCCAGUGGUGAGAAUGAGCCACGGAAAGAUGGUGCCAUCUCAGUCAUGACCAAUCAGAGAGUGAUGCACCACAACAGCCCCACACGGAAGCCUGGGAGGCAGAGGGAUGGGACUCCAGACCUGAGCCCACACAGCUGUGCUUUAAGCAGUAAGCCAAGCCAAGAAUGGGGAGGUGAAGAGGAGCUGGAACAGACCCAAGGAGCGAGAGCUGAAGCAGCUGGGCCAGGAACGACUGGGGAACCUGGAGGAAGUCUGGGAGAGGUCCAGGUUCAGCAGGCCUGGAUUCCCAACCACAAAGGGCCAGGGUCACAAGGGACCUCUAGUAAGCCAGGAGGCAAAGCACAUGAAGACGGCAGAGACCCUGACAGCUGGGUACAGAAUGCUCACAGAUUAAAAGAGGGCAGAUGGUAAAAAAGCUAUACCUC